CCUCUGCCCCCUAAGUCAGCUGAUACUCCCUCCAGUUAUUGUGUGUACCCAGUAAAUAGUGGCAAGCUCCAAAAGUCUUUGUUUUUGCCCACACUGAGGCACCGACCUGCCCUCCAUAUACUUUGAAAUUGUGCAAGUCUCUGUUUUCUUUAUUCCUCGCAGUUCCUCUUUCUAGGCAGGUGAAGCAUUGCUCGCCCUCUAUAAUUAGUACCUUUAUAAAAGAGGCACCAGAGACCUCCCUCACGUCUUCUACCAUGUGAAGUUAGAGCAAAAAUGUGGCUGUCUGUGAACCAGGAAGCAGACCUCAGCAGACACUGGGCUUCACCCGACAGUGAACUUCCUGUCCUCCUGAACUGUGAGAAACAAAUUUAUGUUGUUUAUAGGCCACUCAGUUGAUUGAAUUUUGAGAGGGAACACAGGCAUCCACUCUUACUCUGCUGAGACAGAGUGGAUCACAGGGGAGACUGUCUGGAAUCCGGAGACUGUCCUCUCCAGCUUAGUCAGAACAAUGCUGUUAGGAACAUGAGUCCUUCGGGCUGUGAUAAGGAAGAGGACAUUUAAGGCCAGCAGAUGACAAAACUGAAGCCUCAAGAGCCUGACUUGCUCAUGGUGACAGCAGAAAUGAGAGGAGGACUCAAGAAUUGGACUUCAGAGUUCUCAUGUUCACGGCCAUAUUGAAAUUCCUAUGGGGUCUGCAUUGCAGGACUCCUCCCAGCUACACUGCAGUAUCAGUGGGGACAUGCUUUGCACAUUCUUGCCUUCAGCUCUCUGGCACUAUUUGCUCCAUGAAUUAUUCAAUGGCCUGGUGGCCAUUGCAGGCCAUAUGCAGAUGGCCCUGGAGAAUGCAUGGUGCACAGGGUAAUUCUAGUUUUCCAAUUAGCAGCAAGGUGCUGAGCUGCGAGCCCGAAGCCUACCUAUCUCCAGGAAUGGGUUACAGCUCUUCUCCACAGGGCAGUGCCAGGCUUUGUCAUUUCAUUCACCUCUGCAGUGUCUUCCUCUUGUUCUCCUCCUCCCAGAGGUCAUCUAUUUUCUACUCCCCUGAGAGCUCCAAGGCAAGGCUAAGAGUUAGAGGGGCACACUGCAGCAGAAAUGUGCAAGAGAAAAUGUGUAGGGAAUAAGGAAAGGGGACAUUACUAGAACCUCUGCAGUGGGUCCUAGUGUCCUGCGAGCCAUGGCAGCACAAGACGAAUUAACUUAUUAUACAGGAAAGGUAGAAAAAUGAGACUUUGAGAAGAAGCUGAGCUUUGGGCCUGAUCAGUGCUGCUCUGGGCGGCAAAGAG
rnacentral:lncRNA from 1 species